AGAAAAUAUUAUUGUUCUCUGUGUGCAGCUGAAGCUCCGUCGAGCGGGGGCCGCUGGGGUUGGCAGCAAGAUUCGAGGGGAGGGAGGGUUUAGAAGCUCCGGGAUUGGGGCUGACGUUUUAUUUUUCCCCACAAGACCUGCAUGUGAUCUACUUGCCAGACUGUGGCUGGCCACGGGUAAAUGGAAUCGUAGAUAAGGGGGGACUACUGCAUCAUCUCAGCAAUGCUGACGUGCUUGGGGCAGAAGAGGGACCACUCCCCACGUCGGGACCCGAACAGUCCAGCUGUGAGCUGACCUCCCUUUCUGGCCAGGACAGAGGGAGUCUCGCUUCUUCUCUUUGUUUCCCGUUGACUCGGAAGGUCGACUCUGAGCAUCUUCCACACUCAAAAUCAGCAUUUCCACCCUGCUGAAGCACCAGGCACUUCUACUGUCUUUGCAACUAAAAAAAAUCUGGGAAUUCUGGAAGAUAUGAUUGAUUUGCAGUUACGGUCUGAUUGAGCCAAGAAUCAUUAGCACAAGCCCUGCUCGUAUUCAACAUGACGUCCAAUUAAUUCAUCCAAGGAUGAUGUACCUGGUGCCUGCGUGGUGCAAAGCUGCUGAGUCAGGUGCUGAGCCGGCUCUCACGUGGCAGGGAUGGGGACCGUCCCAGGGACUUCCUGGGCUGCAGACGGUGAGAGGAGCUUGACCACCAGGUCACAUAUAAAUGACUCUAAUGUGAAGAAGAUUACAAUAAAUGCUACAAAAGAGGUAUGAACCAGGAAUUUCAGUUAUUUCCACCGGAGGGAUGAGAAGCGGGUCCUCAUGGAUUUCCUUCCAAAAUGCCAUCCAAAGGGGUAAAAGUAGGAAAACAAAGGGAUUUGUGUUUUCAAAACCUACGUCCACCGAAAAAAAGCGUGCAUCACCUGCUUUGUAUUCCCUCAACUUAAAAUCAUGAGCCCCAAUCAAGCACCCGCAGACUCACACAUUUUCAGCUGGAAUCGCCGGGCUGGUUGAAACUCUGUAGCAAACACAGAGCAUGCCAGGGGGCAUCUCUGGGCUUCGCUCUGGGCUCAUCAUGACCCGCCUCGCCGGACUGCGGAGCUGGUGAGGUGACAUCCUUCCCAGGGGCCGGGCACCGUGGGAGCUGAUGUCUCGGUGCAGGACAGAGAGAGCCACUGAACGGCCAGACAGGCUUGCUGAGCACAGACGACCUUCCCGCAGCAAUACCCUCGGCGGACACGGGGUGGCAGCAUCGCCCCACAUCUCGGCCCCUGCACCAGCCUCUGCGUCACCCGCAGGUGCUGGGCCACACCCGGCACUCCCCUACCCUGGCUGUGGCCUGACCUUGAAGUGUCCUUGUCUGGCAAGACACCCUCCCCUCCCUUCUCUGCUUCAUGUCCUCUCCCCGAAUGCUGACACCCCCAGCCCCGAGCGGUUUAUCUCAGGGUCUGGAGGGCAAA